rnacentral:misc_RNA from 1 species
UGCUUCACUGUCACUCGUGUCUUUCUCGUCGUCUUGCAAAAAAGGAAAGAAAACCAGAUGCAGUCAAAAGUCUCGAGGUCACUCUUCAUGCCGACCGGGCUCUCCAACUCGGGCCGGGAUUUCGUGUUACGAUGCAAUGUUUGAGUGCCAAGGAGGCUUACAAGUGCUAAAAGCGAAGCGUGUGCGCAUCAAUCCCACCAAGAAAUGGACCAUAGUAGACGAAAAGGCGCUCAUUGAGUUUUUGAUGGCGAAUGGAGAUUUCGAGAAGCCAACUGAUCAAAACUACUACAGGCGGUUUUCGUUGGAAAUGAAAUUGGAGGUUGAGUGGAAGCUGGCACGAGCGAAAGUACGAAACAUGCGCGACAGCUACAAUAAAGCCGAAGGUUGGGAAGGAUCAACCGGCGCCGGCAGCAUGGAUGGCGACACUUUUCGAACCAUUUUACUUAAAAAGUACACAUUUUUACGAGCUUGGCGACAUUUUUGGCAACAGGCUCGUUGAAGCGGCUGUCAUUGAAGACAGUUUGGACUCCGUAUGUGAAGAUAUUUUCAAUUCAACAGAGCUCCUGUUCGAAGAAACCACAAUGUCGCCAACAAAUAUAUAGGUAAUUGAAAUGCAAGCAGACAUGUUAACUGUGAGGAAGCAGAAAGCUGACCAAGACUUUAGGUUGAGAGAAGAAGAGUUAAGUUAAAAGAAAAAAAUGAAUUAGCAUUGAAGGAAAAAGAAAUGGAAUCAAGAGAAAAGGAGAUGAAGAGUAAUGAAAGGCUAAAAAUUAGAGAGCUGGAAAUGGAGGAGAGACUGGCAAUGGAGGACCUUAACCGAAAAGAUAAAUAAUAAAAAACCACUCACCUACGUACAUACAUACAUAUGUGUGUAGGUACGUACAUAUCGAUGGC